AUCAGUUUAACAUUGUUGAAGGCUAAUGAUAAUUUAUUCUGCAUUAUCUUAGUCAUAAUAUUUCUUACUGGGCUAGUUGAGCUCACCCUUUUGCUUUCAUUGUUCUCUUUAGGAAAUGAGAACGUAGCAGGGAUUAGCCGGGGAACAGAGUGAUGGUCCUAGAUGGUGCAUUAGUAGUCCUCACUAUUCUGUGAAAUAGUGUGAUAAUAAAUGUAAUGAAGACCCCAUUGAGUUUGUAUAUUGUCUAAAUGACAAUAUUUGUAUUAAAACUCACAGCAUAUGUUUAGUCGUAUUUUACACGACUGUUGUGUAAUCAAGUGGUAUUUGAAUUUAGUACCUUGUAUCUGGAGACCCAAGAUGGGUGAUGUAUACCUGUUUUGGGGCGUCACAUGGGGUCAUAGAAAAGUGUGAAUGGAUUCUUCAAUUAAAAAGUAAUUUAGAAGAGAAAUUUAGAUAAAAAAAUUUAUUAUUAAUUAGCGUGCCGAAUCCAAUUAGGACGUUUAAUAUAGGACUGAUGGAGUAGUUGAUUUGUGCAUAUAUAGUUCUACAAAAUGUAUAAGAGUAUUUACAUAUAUGUAAAUUACUAUCAAGUUACAACCAGCAAAAUAAGAUUAUUGACUUUAUUUUAGUGGAAGACUGUUGAGUUCUUAGACUCUUACGAAUAGUUAUAUUAGGAUCCGGUUAACAUGAAGUUAUUUUUUUGGUAAGUUGGUCAAUUGACCAAUAGAAUACUGACACACAUACAACCUCGCCUGCAUGUCAGUAUUCUAUUGGUCAAUUGACGACCAACUUACCCCAAAAUAAACUUCAUACUAACCACUUCCGUUAUAUUAUAUAUUAAUGGUGUUAUCAGGGUUAUGUUUGUUUGCAAAGAUUAUACUUGAGAUUGGACUAUUAAUCUCAAGUCUCUUGUUUGUUUUUAAAAAAUAGACCUGGGAUUAUUUUUGUUUAAAAAGAGAGAUGUAUCUUAUCAUAUCUAUCUAUACUAUCUAAACCUUUAAAGAAUCAUGGACAAAACAAACAUAAUAUGCGAUUAUUUUAAGUUAUCCCAAUAAUAAUCUCAUGACUAGGACUAUUUAAUUCUAAGAUUAAUAGUCUUGGAAUUAUAAUCCAUGGGAAUAUAGUCUCGGGAUUAUAAUCAUUACAAACAAGCAUGGCCCUAUAGUUCUCUCUUACCUUAUUCACUAGUUUUCGUUCAAAUUUUCUAAAAAUUAACUAAAUUUAAAAUAUUGUUAUGGUGAUAAAAGAAUCUUAUAAAAAAUUAUUUACUUACAAAAUGAUAUAUGUGGCAUAAUGUAACAAGUAAAAUACAAAAGUGACCCAUGUACUAUAGGGGUAUUUGGAUAUUGCACUCUCUUUUUUAAAUAAUGCAAAACACACAUUUUACUAUUUGAAAAUUUAGAUUGUGAACCAUAUUGUGCCAUGUGGCGUUGACUUGUACACAUGACACAUUGAUAUGUCAAUUUAACACAUUUUGAUACAAAUAUAUAUUCUCCCAAGAUUUGAACUUAACACCUUGUACUUCCAAAUUCAAC
rnacentral:lncRNA from 1 species